rnacentral:lncRNA from 1 species
AACCUAUUUGCUUUCACUUGUUUUUAACCCAUUCUGUCUUUGAGUCUCUUCUCCCCAGUCCCUGCCCUACCGCUUCUGCCCCACGUCACCAUGGCAGUUUCUCUUGGCCCUGUGUCUGAUCUGGGGGCCGACAUUACCCUCCUGGAAAUCAACCAGGAGCUUCCGUCCCAGCUGUAUCAAAGCAAACAGGACUUUUGAGACCUCAAAGAGAAGUUCCUUGUCUCUGAGUCCACUGCCUACAUCCUGGCCAACCAGCUUCAGAAAUACAAGUGUGGAGCGUGCAAAGACAUCAUUGAAUCGGUGCUGGGGGAGAAGCUGCAGUUCCAGGAGGGGAAACCAGCAGAGAAGUCAAUGUUAGUGGAGAAGCUCAAGAAAUGUGAUGUCCUAAUCCAAGAUCAGGCUCAAGAGCUGGCCCAGUUAUGGCAAACGAUAGAGAAAGACAGAGAAGUCUCUGUGCUCCUCAAGCAGCACCUCAGGAACUUUCUCACCCACGAUGACCCUACCAACUUCCAGGGUCAGGGCUUUCAAGAGCAACUGGCUGAGGGAUGCAGGCUGGUGGAGCACCUUGCCCUAAAGCUCAGCACAGGUAAUGUGGUCAUAAGCCCUGACUGCACUGAGCUGCUCCAAGAGAUUCCGCUCACAAGGAUUUUUGUUUUAACCAGUUGUUCUGGUUUCCAUGUCCCAUUUGGGGCCAUCACAGGACCAGCACUGGCGGGGUGGGAACAGAGAGGAGAAAUGCACUGGGUACAGGCCACAGUGAUCCAACUAGAUGUUUCUUUCCUGAUGGAUGGUGAAUCACACUAA